rnacentral:lncRNA from 1 species
GGUGGGUGUCUUGACCUCCUCUCGUUUUUGCCUGACUGACCGGUCUUGGACAUAACCCUUGCUCGUGCGUUCACUCUUCUGCUUAUUUCUAUCAUUGUGCUUUUGCUCGUCAUAGGUUUUUCGCUUAUUAGCUUCCGUCUCCCUUCCAUCCCUGAGAUUUUUAGUUACCUUCUCCGCUUCCUCCGCAUCGACAUACUUGUCUCCCUUCUUUAAUAGGUCAUGCAUCGACUCCGGGGGGUUCUUGGACAGUGACAUCUUAAAGGCCCGAUUUCGCGUUCCAUUCAUCAAGGCUGUAACCACUGCGGACAUUUGCAGGUCUCUAAUGCCAAGAGUCGCCCGGCUGAACCUGGCUAAGUAUUCCUGCAAUGACUCGUCUUUGUCCUGUACGACCUGCAUCAACCCAAUGGCUGUCUUCCUCUUCCUCUUGCUGCUUAGGAAAUAAGCCACAAAGCUCCUGGAGAGCUCAUCAAAUGACUUGAUAGAGCGCGGGGCCAAGGUUGCUACCCAGUCCCUUGCCUCCCUCCUGAGCGUGGGGGGAAAGGAUCGGCACAUCACGGCGUCCGGGGCGGCAUAAAGUCUCAUCAGAUCCACGAAAGUUCGUAGAUGGUCAAGCGGGUCCGUGACUCCAUCAUAGGCUUCAAUCAUGGGCUGUUUGAAGCCUUUAGGCAAAGGGACCGCCAUGAUUUCUGGGGCGAACGGGUCUUCCUCCAAAACCAUCUGUCUCCGCCUAUCCUUCCUUUUGGACAACGCAUCGUCUAUCUUCUGUGACAUGAUUUCUUCCAUCUUUCGUUCCAGGUCCACCAUGGUUUGCGGGGGCUGUUGAGCUCCGGUCAUUGGGGCUCCCGCGUCUCCCGCUCCCCGCUGAGAGGUGGG